rnacentral:rRNA from 1 species
UACGUAGGGGCCGAGCGUUGUCCGGAGUUAUUGGGCGUAAAGCGCGCGCAGGCGGCCUCGCGCGCCCGACGUGAAAGCCCCCGGCUUAACCGGGGAGGGUCGUUGGGGACGGCGGGGCUUGAGGGCGGGAGAGGUCGGUGGAAUUCCCGGUGUAGUGGUGAAAUGCGUAGAGAUCGGGAGGAACACCUGUGGCGAAGGCGGCCGACUGGGCCGACCCUGACGCUAAGGCGCGAAGGCGUGGGGAGCGAACGGG